rnacentral:rRNA from 1 species
UACAGAGGGGGCUAGCGUUAUUCGGAAUUAUUGGGCGUAAAGGGCGCGUAGGCGGCCAUGCGUGUCUUCCGUGAAAUCCCUCGGCUUAACUGAGGACGUGCGGAAGAAACUGCAAGGCUCGAGUCCGGGAGAGGGGGGUGGAAUUCCCAGUGUAGCGGUGAAAUGCGUAGAUAUUGGGAGGAACACCGGUGGCGAAGGCGGCCCCCUGGACCGGAACUGACGCUGAGGCGCGAAAGCGUGGGUACGCAA